GUAUCCGUAGCUCAGUUGGUAGAGCAUAACUUUCCGAAGGUUAGGGUCGCAUGUUCAAAUCAUGUCGGAUGCA
rnacentral:tRNA from 1 species